rnacentral:lncRNA from 1 species
UGCUUUUCCAAUUAACUACAAUUCGCUAGUCAUUAGGUGGCAAAUGUGCAAAACUACUGCUUUAUUGAUACAAAGUGAGAAAUUGAUAGAUGAUGCUUCUAUCAAUCAGAAUUGAUUGUAAUUAAUUUGAUUUUUUUUUUGAAUAAUGAUAUAAAUUCCUUAUUCCCCUCCUUUGUUGUUUCAAAGUAUUAUAUUAUAUGCCUAUGGUGCAUA